GCCUCUGUGGUGGUGUAGUGGUAGCACACGUCUCCGGUACGGAUGAGGAGCGGGUUCGACUCACCUCUAAGGUA